rnacentral:rRNA from 1 species
GACGAACGCUGGCGGCGUGCUUAACACAUGCAAGUUGAACGAUGAAGCCGGAGCUUGCUCUGGUGAAUUAGUGGCGAACGGGUGAGUAACACGUGAGUAACCUGCCCUUGACUCUGGGAUAACUGCGGGAAACUGUAGCUGAUACCGGAUACGACCCUCGGAGGCAUCUCCUGGGGGUGGAAAGAAUUUCGGUCAAGGAUGGACUCGCGGCCUAUCAGCUAGUUGGUGAGGUAAAGGCUCACCAAGGCGACGACGGGUAGCCGGCCUGAGAGGGUGACCGGCCACACUGGGACUGAGACACGGCCCAGACUCCUACGGGAGGCAGCAGUGGGGAAUAUUGCACAAUGGGCGCAAGCCUGAUGCAGCAACGCCGCGUGAGGGAUGACGGCCUUCGGGUUGUAAACCUCUUUUAGCAGGGAAGAAGCGAAAGUGACGGUACCUGCAGAAAAAGCACCGGCUAACUACGUGCCAGCAGCCGCGGUAA